rnacentral:rRNA from 1 species
CCUACGGGAGACAGCAGUGAGGAAUAUUGGUCAAUGGACGAGAGUCUGAACCAGCCAAGUAGCGUGAAGGAUGACUGCCCUAUGGGUUGUAAACUUCUUUUGUAAAGGAAUAAAACGAGGCACGUGUGCCUUUUUGAAUGUACUUUAUGAAUAAGGAUCGGCUAACUCCGUGCCAGCAGCCGCGGUAAUACGGAGGAUCCGAGCGUUAUCCGGAUUUAUUGGGGUUAAAGGGAGCGUAGAUGGGUUGUUAAGUCAGUUGUGAAAGUUUGCGGCUCAACCGUAAAAUGGCAAUGGAUACUGGCAGUCUUGAGUACAGUUGAGGUAGGCGGAAUUCGUGGUGUAGCGGUGAAAGGCUUAGAGAUCACGAAGAACCCCGAUUGCGAAGGCAGCUUACUAAACUGUGACUGACAUUGAUGCUCGAAAGUGUGGGUAUCAAACAGGAUUAGAUACCCCAGUAGUC